rnacentral:rRNA from 1 species
UGGGGGAUAUUGCACAAUGGGGGGAACCCUGAUGCGGCGACGCCGCGUGGGUGAAGAAGCGCCUCGGCGCGUAAAGCCCUGUCAGCAGGGAAGAAAAUGACGGUACCUGAAGAAGAAGCCCCGGCUAACUACGUGCC